AGUAUUACGCCAGACGAAUGGAUUACAUUGAUGUUGUAAAUUAUGGGCCUCCCCCUAAUACUU
rnacentral:tRNA from 1 species